AGCGUUGUUCGGAAUUACUGGGCGUAAAGCGCGCGCAGGCGGUCUUCCAAGUCAGUGGUGAAAGCCCGGAGCUCAACUCCGGAACUGCCAUUGAAACUGUUAGACUUGAGGACGAGAGAGGUGAGUGGAACUCCGAGUGUAG
rnacentral:rRNA from 1 species